rnacentral:rRNA from 1 species
AUUGAACACUGGCGGCAGGCUUAACACAUGCAAGUCGAGCGGGGUGAGGUGCUUCGGUACUGAUCCUAGCGGCGGACGGGUGAGUAAUGCUUAGGAAUCUGCCAUUUAGUGGGGGACAACAUUCCGAAAGGAAUGCUAAUACCGCAUACGUCCUACGGGAGAAAGCAGGGGAUCUUAGGACCUUGCGCUAAAUGAUGAGCCUAAGUCGGAUUAGCUAGUUGGUGGGGUAAAGGCCUACCAAGGCGACGAUCUGUAGCGGGUCUGAGAGGAUGAUCCGCCACACUGGGACUGAGACACGGCCUAGACUCCUACGGGAGGCAGCAGUGGGGAAUAUUGGACAAUGGGCGGAAGCCUGAUCCAGCCAUGCCGCGUGUGUGAAGAAGGCCUUUUGGUUGUAAAGCACUUUAAGCGAGGAGGAGGCUACUAGUACUAAUACUACUGGAUAGUGGACGUUACUCGCAGAAUAAGCACCGGCUAACUCUGUGCCAGCAGCCGCCGUAACAC